AUUGAACGCUGGCGGCAGGCUUAACACAUGCAAGUCGAACGGAACCUUCGGGUUUAGUGGCGAACGGGUGAGUAAUACCUAGGAAUCUGCCUAUUAGUGGGGGAUAACGGCUCGAAGGGGUCGCUAAUACCGCAUACGUCCUACGGGAGAAAGAGGGGGAUCUUCGGACCUCUUGCUAAUAGAUGAGCCUAGGCCGGAUUAGCUAGUUGGUAGGGUAAAGGCCUACCAAGGCGACGAUCCGUAGCUGGUCUGAGAGGAUGAUCAGCCACACUGGAACUGAGACACGGUCCAGACUCCUACGGGAGGCAGCAGUUAGGAAUAUUGGACAAUGGGGGAAACCCUGAUCCAGCCAUGCCGCGUGUGUGAUGAAGGCCUUAGGGUUGUAAAGCACUUUCGUUGGGAGUGAUAAUGACCGUACCCAAAGAAGAAGCCACGGCUAAAUUACGUGCCAGCAGCCGCGGUAAAGUAGUCGUG
rnacentral:rRNA from 1 species